rnacentral:rRNA from 1 species
UACGUAGGGUGCGAGCGUUGUCCGGAAUUAUUGGGCGUAAAGGGCUCGUAGGCGGUUUGUCGCGUCGGGAGUGAAAUCCACUGGCUUAACUGGUGGCUUGCUUUCGAUACGGGCAGACUGGAGGUAUGCAGGGGAGAACGGAAUUCCUGGUGUAGCGGUGAAAUGCGCAGGUAUCAGGAGGAACACCGGUGGCGAAGGCGGUUCUCUGGGCAUGUCCCGACGCUGAGGAGCGAAAGUGUGGGGAGCGAACAGG